UACAUUAUCUUGUUCUGUUUCCACAUCACCCACAUAAGGUAGUUUGUUUUCUGUUUUACAGGUAAGGAAGCUGAGAUUCAGAAAGUUCUGCACAAGAGAGCCAGUGUUUUGAUGUUGCCACACAGAGGAAGAUGGCAACCAGCAGCCAUUUAGCCUUGAAGAGCAGCAACCAACCAUCAGAGAGACCCUGGCUUUCCCUUAGUUGUCAGGAAAAGGAGACACACCUGCCAAAGGUCACCCAGUUGGAAAGUGCUGGCACUGGGAUCUGCACCAAGCUGGCUGUCCCUGGAGAUCCCCGUGAACCAGGGCACAGUGGUGACGACCCAGGAGAGCAGCAGCAAUGAAGGUUGUGGAAAGGAACUCCCACGAGAAAGCAACAUUCCCCUCUAAGUGCAUUACAGAGCGAAUGUUAACCCAUUGGAGAAGACCCGCCACCCCAUUAACUCACUAGAAUGGAGCUGCUCCUGCCGUCUCUGUUUAACAGAAGUACCUCCUGAGAUCCCAGGACCUCAAGGUAAAUGUCUGAACACCAUCACCACGUACAAAUGUUUAUCUCCUUACUGUAUACGGUCAAAGCAAGAAGCCAGUGUAUGCGAUACUGUGGAGGCCAAAGAUUCUGCUGUUCCUGCUCCAAUCCCAAAUGUCUGUGAGCAUCAGGGCCGGCUCUGCUGCUCUCAGUCAUUGUCUCUAAGUGACUGCUACACAUCUGAACAGCAUACCUUAUGCUAAUGAA